UAGCCACCGUGACGAAUUUUUAAUGAAUUUUUAACUAUUCAAUUUUUAGCCGCGAACUCGUCUUUCCGCUCCGAUAUAACUUUCAGGAGCCCGUGCGGCGGGACUCCGCGUGGAUUUGGAGAUGAAGUUGAAAAGUGAGCGUCGCGAAAUGAGAGAUAGAAGGAGUUGGAGAGGAGUCAGAGGGAAGGGUAGGAAGGAAGGAAAGGAAGAGAGGAAUGGAAAGUGAAGACGAGUUUUCAUUGGAUAGCUAGAUGACGAGCGAACUUCGUGACGCACUCCCUGGUAACACCGAGUCCCCCAUUGGUUAGAACGACAUAGAA
rnacentral:lncRNA from 1 species